AGGCAAAUCCGGUACUCGUUAAGGCUGAGCUGUGAUGGGGAGAAGACAUUGUGUCUUCGAGUCGUUGAUUUCACACUGCCGAGAAAAGCCUCUAGAUAGAAAAUAGGUGCCCGUACCGCAAACCGACACAGGUAGUCAAGAUGAGAAUUCUAAGGUGAGCGAGCGAACUCUCGUUAAGGAACUCGGCAAAAUGACCCCGUAACUUCGGGAGAAGGGGUGCUCUUUAGGGUUAACGCCCAGAAGAGCCGCAGUGAAUAGGCCCAAGCGACUGUUUAUCAAAAACACAGGUCUCUGCUAAACCGUAAGGUGAUGUAUAGGGGCUGACGCCUGCCCGGUGCUGGAAGGUUAAGAGGAGUGGUUAGCUUCUGCGAAGCUACGAAUCGAAGCCCCAGUAAACGGCGGCCGUAACUAUAACGGUCCUAAGGUAGCGAAAUUCCUUGUCGGGUAAGUUCCGACCCGCACGAAAGGCGUAACGAUUUGGGCACUGUCUCAACGAGAGACUCGGUGAAAUCAUAGUACCUGUGAAGAUGCAGGUUACCCGCGACAGGACGGAAAGACCCCGUGGAGCUUUACUGUAGCCUGAUAUUGAAAUUCGGCACAGCUUGUACAGGAUAGGUAGGAGCCUUUGAAACGUGAGCGCUAGCUUACGUGGAGGCGCUGGUGGGAUACUACCCUAGCUGUGUUGGCUUUCUAACCCGCACCACUUAUCGUGGUGGGAGACAGUGUCAGGCGGGCAGUUUGACUGGGGCGGUCGCCUCCUAAAAGGUAACGGAGGCGCUCAAAGGUUCCCUCAGAAUGGUUGGAAAUCAUUCAUAGAGUGUAAAGGCAUAAGGGAGCUUGACUGCGAGACCUACAAGUCGAGCAGGGUCGAAAGACGGACUUAGUGAUCCGGUGGUUCCGCAUGGAAGGGCCAUCGCUCAACGGAUAAAAGCUACCCCGGGGAUAACAGGCUUAUCUCCCCCAAGAGUUCACAUCGACGGGGAGGUUUGGCACCUCGAUGUCGGCUCAUCGCAUCCUGGGGCUGUAGUCGGUCCCAAGGGUUGGGCUGUUCGCCCAUUAAAGCGGUACGCGAGCUGGGUUCAGAACGUCGUGAGACAGUUCGGUCCCUAUCCGUCGUGGGCGUAGGAAAUUUGAGAGGAGCUGUCCUUAGUACGAGAGGACCGGGAUGGACAUACCUCUGGUGUACCAGUUGUCGUGCCAACGGCAUAGCUGGGUAGCUAUGUGUGGACGGGAUAAGUGCUGAAAGCAUCUAAGCAUGAAGCCCCCCUCAAGAUGAGAUUUCCCAACUUCGGUUAUAAGAUCCCUCAAAGAUGAUGAGGUUAAUAGGUUCGAGGUGGAAGCAUGGUGACAUGUGGAGCUGACGAAUACUAA
rnacentral:rRNA from 1 species